UAAGGAAUAUUGGUCAAUGGACGCAAGUCUGAACCAGCCAUGCCGCGUGAAGGAUGAAGGUCCUCUGGAUUGUAAACUUCUUUUAUCUGGGACGAAAACGGGAUUUUUAUCUCAAUUGACGGUACCAGAGGAAUAAGCACCGGCUAACUCCGUGCCAGCAGCCGCGGUAAUACGGAGGGUGCGAGCGUUAUCCGGAUUUACUGGGUUUAAAGGGUGCGCAGGUGGGCUUAUAAGUCAGUGGUGAAAUCUCCGAGCUUAACUUGGAAACUGCCGUUGAUACUAUAGGUCUUGAAUUAUCUGGAGGUGAGCGGAAUAUGUCAUGUAGCGGUGAAAUGCUUAGAUAUGACAUAGAACACCAAUUGCGAAGGCAGCUUACUACAUAUAAAUUGACGCUGAGGCACGAAAGCGUGGGGAUCAAACA
rnacentral:rRNA from 1 species